GUCAUAGCUCAGUGGUAGUGCACUUGUUUUGUACUCAUAAAGUUCCAGGUUGAAUCCCUGGUAUUUCCA